AAGGAACUUAGGUUAGAUUACGCUUAGGGCCCAACAGGUUUGUGCCGGGCCUCAGGAGUCUCCACCCUCUCCAGUUCUGGGAGCCGUCAGUCUCCUGGGCCUGCAAUUAUCCACGCUGAGGCUGAGGUCUUUUCGCGAGUUGGAUUGCAGCCUUGUUCUACUUCUGUCUCUUCUCUCUCCAGACGAGGUUGUUGCCAGCGAUACUCCUCUUCUGGAGCUUGAAUUGGAAGCAGAGUAGUCUUGUUAGUCUCGGUGAUGGCUGGGUUGUUUCCUGAAGUAGCCAAAGUGCUUAGGAUCCAUUACGCCUCCUUUGAGCACCCUGGGAGGAAAACCGCUUCAUCUUCUGCCAAAAUGUCAGGAAUUGGCAAUAAAAGAGCAGCUGGAGAACCUGGCACCUCCAUGCCUCCUGAGAAGAAGGCAGCUGUUGAAGAUUCAGGGACCACAGUGGAAACAAUUAAGCUAGGAGGUGUCUCUUCAACGACUAAUACGAUUGGUUUACUGGGCAGGAGGAGCUAGACAUUCGAACACUGCAAACCAAAAAUCGCAAGCUGGCAGAAAUGUUGGAUCAGCGGCAGGCCAUUGA
rnacentral:sRNA from 1 species